rnacentral:rRNA from 1 species
UACGUAGGGUGCGAGCGUUGUCCGGAAUUAUUGGGCGUAAAGAGCUCGUAGGCGGCCUGUCGCGUCGGUUGUGAAAGCCCGGGGCUUAACCCCGGGUCUGCAGUCGAUACGGGCAGGCUAGAGUUCGGUAGGGGAGAUCGGAAUUCCUGGUGUAGCGGUGAAAUGCGCAGAUAUCAGGAGGAACACCGGUGGCGAAGGCGACUACCUGGCCUGUUCUUGACGCUGAGGCGCGAAAGCUAGGGGAGCAAACGGG